UGCAAGUGCAUGGAGCAAUUUCUCACGCAAGAAGACAUUGUCGAAGCAUAUUAAGACUCCAUCCCAUGUUUCAGAAGACACAUCCAUCUACUAAAACAUGGCAAUAGAAUCAGGAGAUCAUCAAUUGUGAAACUUAACUCCAUUCAGAGGCUGAAUAUAAGAUCAAUCGAGGCUAAUGUGGCACAUAAACAUUGCUUGCUAGGCAAACUCCAUGUUACAUAUCUUAUUGUUGUACUCUCCUCGACCAAACAGACCAAUCAAUAUAUGCCACGGUCCUAUUAAAGUUUGUAAAAAAUAAAUUAAGGUUACACUUACAACAAUCAUAAAGUGGAUCAAAUAAGAAAACUGGAUAUCCUCACAAACAGUACAUCAAAAUCAAACCUUACGGGGGAAUGAGAUACCUUCAUAUUUUGUCGAGUAGUGAGGUUGGGAGGCGCAUAGGGGUGUGAUGUCAACUCCAAGGAAGAGUCGAGUGAGGUCCUUGCCGCCAUCCAUAGAAUCAACAAAAAUUGAGCCUUGCAU
rnacentral:lncRNA from 1 species